rnacentral:rRNA from 1 species
CCGACAACUAGCAGACAUAGCUUAGGGCUUGGAUUAGCAGGGUACCUAAGCCUUUUUGCUCCAGACUCUUUUGCACUUCAGCGUCAGAUCUAGGCCAGUUGGCUGCCUCCGCCUAUGGUGUUCUUCCCAAUAUACACUAAUUACACCUCUACACUAUGAAUUCCAGCACCCUAUCAUAAUCUCAAGUCGUUCAGUAUCAGAGGCAGAUCUGUUGUUGAGCCCCGGGCUUUCACCCCUGACUGGCAAGAACGCCCGCGUACCCUUUACGCCCAGUAAACCGAACAACGAUCGCCCCUUUCGGAUUGCUGUAGGUCCGUGCAUGAAAUUAGCCGGGGCUUCUUUUCUUCCUACCGUCAUCAUCUUCACAAUUAGAGGGCGUUAAUAACCCACGACCAUUU